rnacentral:rRNA from 1 species
GAGGAAUAUUGGUCAAUGGGCGCGAGCCUGAACCAGCCAAGUAGCGUGCAGGAUGACGGCCCUAUGGGUUGUAAACUGCUUUUGUAUGGGGAUAAAGUCAAUCACGUGUGAUUGUUUGCAGGUACCAUACGAAUAAGGACCGGCUAAUUCCGUGCCAGCAGCCGCGGUAAUACGGAAGGUCCGGGCGUUAUCCGGAUUUAUUGGGUUUAAAGGGAGCGUAGGCCGGAGAUUAAGUGUGUUGUGAAAUGUAGACGCUCAACGUCUGACUUGCAGCGCAUACUGGUUUCCUUGAGUACGCACAACGUUGGCGGAAUUCGUCGUGUAGCGGUGAAAUGCUUAGAUAUGACGAAGAACUCCGAUUGCGAAGGCAGCUGACGGGAGCGCAACUGACGCUUAAGCUCGAAGGUGCGGGUAUCGAACAGGAUUAGAUACCCUGGUAGUCCGCACAGUAAACGAUGGAUGCUCGCUGUUGGCCUUUUGUGGUCAGUGGCUUAGCGAAAGCGUUAAGCAUCCCACCUGGGGAGUACGCCGGCAACGGUG